CCUACGGGAGGCUGCAGUGGGGAAUAUUGGACAAUGGGGGCAACCCUGAUCCAGCCAUGCCGCGUGUGUGAAGAAGGCCCUCGGGUUGUAAAGCACUUUCAGUGAGGAAGAACGCCUGGUGGUUAAUACCCAUCAGGAAAGACAUCACUCACAGAAGAAGCACCGGCUAACUCCGUGCCAGCAGCCGCGGUAAUACGGAGGGUGCGAGCGUUAAUCGGAAUUACUGGGCGUAAAGCGUGCGUAGGUGGCUUGAUAAGCCGGUUGUGAAAGCCCCGGGCUCAACCUGGGAACGGCAUCCGGAACUGUCAAGCUAGAGUGCAGGAGAGGAAGGUAGAAUUCCCGGUGUAGCGGUGAAAUGCGUAGAGAUCGGGAGGAAUACCAGUGGCGAAGGCGGCCUUCUGGACUGACACUGACACUGAGGUGCGAAAGCGUGGGUAGCAAACAGGAUUAGAUACCCGUGUAGUC
rnacentral:rRNA from 1 species